AUGUUUGCCUCUUGAAUAAUAAAUUGACCCUGGAAUAAUGGAUUCAGUGAAAAGAUUUGAUUAUGCUGCAAUAAACUAGCCAGUUUAUCUCAAAUGUUUAGUUCAUAAAUUAAAAUGAUGUUAAGGGUCAGAAAGCCCUCGGAUUUUAACAAAAAUAAUUUAAUUUGUGUUGUGAAGAUGCACAGAGGUCUUAGGGGUUUGGAAUGACAUGAGGGUGAGUAAUUAAUGACAGAAUUUACAUUUUGGAUGAACUAUCCCUUUAAUGCAUGUGUUUUUGACUUUUGGUUAUUUAAAACUUGAUUAAACAGUUAUGUUUUAAUGACAAAAGUUCAAAUAAGUGAGCAAAUGGAAAAUAUCUGUAUCAGGCAAAAAAAAAAAAUUCAUACAUAUAUAUUGGUGUCUAGUGCAAAGUUGUCUUUUUAUAAGUCAUUGAUUAAUAUAAGUAUGUGCUCAAAAGUUAAGUGUAUUUGAAUUUUUCAUAUUCUCAUCUGUUUGAUAUACAGACCAUUUUGUCUCAUUUUAAAUGUUUUAAGAAACGUGAUGACUCACAGCCUCUGCCAAUUUCCCCAUUUUCCCACUGACAGGUUGCAGAAUAACAGCUUAUGGAUCAUUUUGUACAGGAGAAGCUGAAAGAAUGGAACUUUGAUGUCUUGAUACCAAUCUUUAAAGAUGAACAAAUUGAUGAGGAAACUAGAAAAGAAAAUAUCAAGUCUUUCAUUGAAUUCAAUAAUGUUGGGACCAACACAGUUGAAUUCCUGCUGGUGGUGAGGCU